CAGCGUGGUUCUAAAUAUCUGCACAUUGUGUCAAUGAUACACAUCCAGUUCACAUUUCUGUUGUAUUUUGUUGUAUUACAAAGAGGAAACAACUUUAGCUGUCAACAAUAUGAGUAAAGAUGACCUCCCUCCUCUUCCCUUCAAAUGUACACAUAUCACCGGCACACCCCGGCACCCAAAAUAAAGGACCAUCUGACUCCGAGGGCAACAAUGCCACCCAUUCUCUGCCCAAAUAAUGCCAUGUCUGUGCGUGAUCCCCCGAUGUGACACCCAGCUGCCUGCAGGUAGCCAAGGACAAUAGGAUGAUGUCUGCCUGCGUUUGCCAAGCAUGUGACGCCCCCGGGUCGUAUAAUAGGCAUCCCUGAUGAAAACACAACUCAAAGUGCGGACAGACACCAAGCACUUUUGUGAGACAUAGUGACCCACUUCAAGCCUCGGCAACAUGAGAGUUGGAGUGCCCGUUUUUGUGUUCUUAGCCGUCGCAGGCUUACAAUAUGCCACAGCUGCAUCACUGGCAUCUGAGGAGAUGGAGGAUUCGUCUGAAGAGGAAGUGGACAAACUGACUUUGCUGCUGAAAAGAGAUCAGAUGGAGUUUGAGGCAGCCCAGGUGGAGAAUGCUGAAGAGACUCAGGCUGCCCAUGAUCAUUUUGAAGCGGCCAAAGUGGAGGAGGCUGAGGAGAUCCAAGCCGCAGGAGAUCAGUUUGAAGCGGCCAAAGUGGAGGAUGCUGAGGAGAUCCAAGCCGCAGGAGACGAGGAAGAGAGUGAGGAGGAUGAGACUGAGGAAGUCACUCACUACAUGGAGGCAAGUCAGGAUGAGGACUCACAUGAUGCGAAAAAAGAUGCCCAAGAGGUCAUCAGUGAUGAGAAUGCAAGCAAUGACAGUGAAGAUGAUUCACAUUCUGAAGAGAAAUCAGAGGCCGCCUUAACCGCCACGGACACCAGACAAACACAAGAUGUAUCCACUGAGGGCUUGGCUGAGGAGGAAGCACUGGAGGAGUGAACCACUGGAUGAGGGACAGGGAGAGGGGACGAGGUCCAAGCCAUUCAGAGGAGAAAUGAUACUGCAGAGCUGAUUCUGUUCAAUAAAUAAGAAUCAUUACUCCCUAUAAGACA
rnacentral:lncRNA from 1 species